rnacentral:misc_RNA from 1 species
GUUGACCAUGACGCUUGAAGUAAUUUUUGGCAACAUGAUUGGUCUUUCCACAAACUCAACAUUCUAUACCAUUUUUCUGAUUAAAAUUGUUACCUUUCAUUUUGUUGUUGUUGUUCCCAUUAAAAUUCUUUUUGGAUGCAACCUUCUUAAAAUUCUUAGAUUUUGGUUUGUGAAAAUUUUCAACAACAUGUGCCUUGGCUUGAAAUUCAAUUUUUUUGUUUUGGGGUUGUGUAAGACGAUGCCUAUCUUCAAUUCUCAAGGAGACAAGCAAUUCAUCAAAAGAAAAAUUUUUAGGUUUCUGUUUCAAACUUCUAGCAAAAUCGGACCAUGAAAGUGGUAAUUUUUUAAUAAGAGAUGUAACCAAAAUAGAAUCAUCAAUUGAAACAUCUUUUAUUUUAAUGUCAAAAAUAAUGUUUUCAAAAUCAUGAAUUUGGUCAGAAACACUUUUUCCAUCAACCAUUUGAAAAUCAAGCAAUUUUUCAAUUGAACAUCUUUUCAAACCUUUUCUUCAGUGCCAUAUUUAUAAUCUAAAGCUUCCCACAAUUUAAGAGCAGUUUUGAUAUGACAGAAAAUAUGAUAAAUAUUAUUAGACAAGACACUUAAGAGUUUUCCA